GAGCUCACUUCGGCAGCACAUACACUAAAAUUGGAACAAUACAGGGAAGAUUAGCUCUGCCCCUGUGCAAGGAUGACAUGAAAAUUCGUGAAGCGUUCCAUUUUUUU
ensembl:snRNA U6 U6 spliceosomal RNA